GACCCACUGCGGGGUUAGAAGUGAAUCUGACCGCCUCUGCCGGCUGCAGACCUGCCUUAAACACGAGAGAGCUCCCAAGUGCUGCUCAGGGACUUUCGCAACUUGACUCUCAACGGUGCUGUGCAGCGCCCUUCCCCACCAUCCACGGGCUCUCGGCAGCCGCGGGGCGACGGUGAGGGCGACCGCCGG
rnacentral:lncRNA from 1 species